UUAGCUAGCAUUGCAUUUGGUGUUGAUACUGCACAAGAUACUGCUAGAGGAGAUACUGCUACAGGAUCUGAUGAGCAUAUGCAUGAGACAGGUGGAUCUGGACCACGUCCCGGGGACAAGAGAGAUACUGCUAUAGGAUCUGAUGAGCAUAUGGUGGAUCUGGACCACGUCCUGGGGACAAGAGAGAUACUGCUACAGGAUCUGAUGAGCAUAUG